UACGUAGGGGGCAAGCGUUGUCCGGAUUUAUUGGGCGUAAAGAGCUCGUAGGUGGUUCGGUAAGUCGGAUGUGAAAUCCCUCGGCUCAACCGAGGAACUGCAUCCGAUACUGGCGGGCUUGAAUCCGGGAGAGGGAUGUGGAUUUCCAGGUGUAGCGGUGAAAUGCGUAGAUAUCUGGAGGAACACCGGUGGCGAAGGCGGCAUCCUGGACCGGUAUUGACGCUGAGGCGCGAAAGCUAGGGGAGCAAACGGG
rnacentral:rRNA from 1 species